AUUGAACGCUGGCGGCAGGCCUAACACAUGCAAGUCGAGCGGAGCUGCGGACGGGUGAGUAAUGCCUAGGAAUCUGCCUGGUAGUGGGGGAUAACGUCCGGAAACGGGCGCUCAUACCGCAUACUAUCAGAUGAGCCUAGGUCGGAUUAGCUGGUUGGUGGGGUAAAGGCACACCAAGGCGACGAUCCUUAACUGGUCUGAGAGGAUGAUCAGUCAUACGUGAACUGAGAAACGGUCCAGACUACUAGGGGAGGCAGAAGUGGGGAAGAUUGGACAAUGGGCGAAAGCCUGAUCCAGCCAUGCCGCGGGUGUGAAGAAGGUCUUCGGAUUGUAAAGCACUUUAAGUUGGGAGGCGUUACCAACAGAAUAAGCACCGGCUAACUUCGUGCCAGCAGCCGCGGUAAUAC
rnacentral:rRNA from 1 species